rnacentral:ribozyme from 1 species
UGCCCAGCAACUUCUAUCCCUACCUCCUCGCGGUACUGGCCGGGAUGCGAGCAACCUUAGAGAAUAUCGGGUAAUCAAUUCCGGUGUUUGUAUGCUGACAGGGAAAC